rnacentral:tRNA from 1 species
GGGGCCUGAGCUCAGCUGGCAGAGCGCCUGCUUUGCAAGCAGGAUGUCAGGAGUUCGAAUCUCCUAGGCUCCA